UCGGGCUCGGCUAGUAUUUGGAAGCUUUUUCUAAAGCACCAAUAGGAGCGCUCCACAUAUUAUGUAUCGCGGCCAAUUAGAGGCACCCAAAUCUUAACCACUAUUUUCGGACAUUCAAAUUAUGCAAAUCACUCUUUCAUCAGCCUCCAUACGAUUACCACACCACUUUUACAUUUAACCGUUUAGUCAAGGAACCCUUGUAAAACCAGUACCUAUUGAAAUUAUAAUAGUUUACUUCAAAUCGAAGCUUUUUAUUUGAGUCGUCGAGAUCCUGACCUGCACGGCGGCUACAUAUGGUCCUUCGAAGCCUUCAAGACAAGGGAAGAUUUGACCAACAACGGGUUCUUCGUGGAAGUGGACUUUGACCAUACUUCGAAAUCGUCUUCGUUGUCUUCAGUUUCUUCGGCUUAGGAAGAACACGCAACGGACGUCGAAAGCAAGGGGUCCCAGCGUCUACCGGCAUAAGGGAGGCGUUCGUUGGACAUCCACCACAUCGAGGACUUCAGUUCCAGUACAUCGCAUCACCUGAAUACGUAGGACUAGACAGAGUGAGUUCGUUCCAAUUUCCUUCCAUUUCCCUUCUAUACCUAUCUUUCUUGGAAUUAAGAAUAGCUCUAUACGUAUCAGGCACAAAUAAUUCAUUUUCAUACAAAUCAAUUGCUAAAUACAUUUAAAACCAUAAUUCAUAUCGAUAAAAUAGCUUAGCUUCAUAUAACUUCGCAGUUAAAAUCUUAUUACAUAUUAAAAAGCCGUCUCCAUCGCUUAUUAUCAAUCGCCUCAGUAACAUAAAAUUGCUAAAUCAUCACAUUCCGCGCGCAGCUGCUUAUCUACUCCGCUUCUUUUGUUCUCGUCAGUUGCAUUUUAACUCGUUAGUGAUCACACAUAUUAGGUAAUUGCAUUUUUAAAUUUACGUCUUAAUCAAUAUGGCUGACACGUUAAAGGAGUUAGUUAGGAAACGUGGCAGUUUGAAAGCUAAAUUAACUUUGUUUAACACAUACAUUAAUGUGGCUAAAACGUGUGAACAAUUAAGUGAGUUACAAAUAACGGAGUUGCAGUGUCGUUUAGAUAAAAUAGAAUCGGUAUACCCAGAGUUUGACGCUUUACAGAUGGAGAUUGAAGCGUUAACUGAGAAACCCGACGAAGCAUAUGCGGAGCGGGAGCAGUUUGAAAGCCAGUUCUUUGUUCAAGGCUCUUCACUUGGAACUUGUCACAAGUCUAACGACAGAGUCGUUCCUUGCUGCUCUCCGCCGCUUCAUGAGUCGUCGGGGAAAGCCUCAAACUCUGUAUUGCGACAAUGGGACUUCGUUUGUCGGGGCAUCAAACGAGCUCAGUAAUUUCUUAAAAAAUAAUCACGAUAAGUUGCAGUCAGGUAUGGCAGAAAAUCUUAUUAACUUUAAAUUUAGCCCGGCUUACUCACCUCACUUCGGCGGACUUUGGGAAGCCGCAGUAAAAUCAACAAAAUAUCACCUCAAACGCAUUCUAUCUCUUACACACUUAACGUAUGAAGAAUUAAAUUGUUGCCUGAUUCAGAUAGAAGCUAUUUUAAAUUCUAGGCCCCUAACCCCCUUAUCUUCUGAUCCAUCUGAUCUGACCUACCUAUCGCCCUCUCAUUUCCUUAUUGGACGUUCUCUUCUGUCAGUCCCACAAGAACCUCUGACUGAAGAAAACAUCUCGCGGCUUGAACGGUUCCAGAGAGUUGAAAAACUCAAGCAGCAUUUUUGGAGCCGCUUUUCUAAUGAGUAUGUUACUCUCCUCCAGCAGAAGACGAAGUGGCACACCUCAACGGACCAGCUGCAAGUUGGGACUAUGGUCUUAGUCAAGGACCGCGCACUUCCUCCUCUCCUGUGGCUGCUGGGACGCGUCACGAAGCUGUACCCGGGCACGGACAACGUCACCAGAGUCGCCGACAUACGCACGAAGAAAGGAGUCAUCCGUAGGGCGUAUAACAACUUGUGCCCCCUCCCUAUUACUUAGUUAAUUCUACAACUUCCAUUUUUUUUAUUGUCUUUUUUUUGUUGAGUCUCUCAACGCCCGGGAGUAUGUUGCGAACGCAACCUUUAUUUGUAUAAUACAGUAACUAAACGCAGCCGUCGGGCUCGGCUAGUAUUUGGAAGCUUUUUCUAAAGCACCAAUAGGAGCGCUCCACAUAUUAUGUAUCGCGGCCAAUUAGAGGCACCCAAAUCUUAACCACUAUUUUCGGACAUUCAAAUUAUGCAAAUCACUCUUUCAUCAGCCUCCAUACGAUUACCACACCACUUUUACAUUUAACCGUUUAGUCAAGGAACCCUUGUAAAACCAGUACCUAUUGAAAUUAUAAUAGUUUACUUCAAA